GAUGAAGAACGUAGUGAAAUGCGAUAAGUAAUGUGAAUUGCAGAAUUCAGUGAAUCAUCGAAUCUUUGAACGCAUCUUGCGCUCCUUGGUAUUCUGAGGAGCAUGCCUGUUUGAGUGUCAUUAAAUUCUCAACUACACUGACUUUGAAUUGGUGUGGCUUGGAUUUGGGGGGGAAAAUUGUUGUGGGCUUUUUGUAUAGUCUGCUCCCCUGAAAUUGAUUAGCGGUACCUUUGUGGAACUGUCUACAGGUGUGAUAAUUAUCUACAUCCUAGACAUCUGCUGGAAUGCUGCUUUCUAAACCUUACUUGUAUUGACAAUCUUGACCUCAAAUCAGGUAGGACUACCCGCUGAACUUAAGCAUAUCAAUAAGCGGAGGG
rnacentral:misc_RNA from 1 species